rnacentral:rRNA from 1 species
GAUGAACGCUGGCGGCGUGCCUAAUACAUGCAAGUCGAGCGGAGUUUCCGUGACGGAAGCCUUCGGGCGGAAGGCGCGGAGACUUAGCGGCGGACGGGUGAGUAACACGUGGGCAACCUGCCCGGAAGACCGGGAUAACAUCCGGAAACGGAUGCUAAUACCGGAUAGGCGGACUCCUCGCAUGAGGGGAUCGGGAAAGGCGGGGCAACCUGCCGCUUCCGGAUGGGCCUGCGGCGCAUUAGCUAGUAGGUAGGGUAACGGCCUACCUAGGCGACGAUGCGUAGCCGACCUGAGAGGGUGAACGGCCACACUGGGACUGAGACACGGCCCAGACUCCUACGGGAGGCAGCAGUAGGGAAUCUUCCGCAAUGGGCGAAAGCCUGACGGAGCAACGCCGCGUGAGUGAGGAAGGUCUUCGGAUCGUAAAGCUCUGUUGCCAGGGAAGAAGUCUUGGGAGAGUAACUGCUCUCAAGGUGACGGUACCUGAGAAGAAAGCCCCGGCUAACUAC